CCCUUAGACGUUCUGGGCCGCACGCGCGCUACACUGACCAGUGCAACAAGCAUCCGUCCUUGGCCGACAGGCCCGGGCAAUCUUUGAACGCUGGUCGUGAUGGGGAUAGACUUUUGCAAUUUUUGGUCUUCAACGAGGAAUUCCUAGUAAACGCAAGUCAUCAACUUGCAUUGAUUACGUCCCUGCCCUUUGUACACACCGCCCGUCGCACCUACCGAUUGGGUGAUCCGGUGAAUUGCUUGGAACAGCUACGGUGUUCUUUGAACGCUGUGGAGGUGAAGAGUUGUAAACCUUAUCACUUAGAGGAAGGAAAAGUCGUAACA
rnacentral:rRNA from 1 species